CACCCGACGUUAUCAUCGGACUGGGACACAUUGCCUAUCCAAACAACAACAUGUCAAACUGCGAAAUAAUACCUCACAGCACAUACGCUAAUGACACCAAAGCAAACCAGCUACGAGCAAAUUAUGGCAGUCUCUAUUCAAUGCACGUAAAGAUAACUGAUAUGUCCCUCAUGAUGCAACACUUUCCCGGGAAGCCUUGGGCAAUUGCCUCGACACUAACGGCAAGAAAAUACAAGCCUACUCGUAAAUACGAUGUGUACGAGUCUUGCGAAACCAUGGAACCACAGGAACAAUACGCUUCGCCUGUCACGGCUUGUGAGGGCUUCGACAUAUUACACAUUCAGACUGCGUUGCCUUACCAAACUUUACCCAGCAACGAUGGUGCGCAGAUUGUCAACGUCAACAAGUCGC